rnacentral:rRNA from 1 species
CCUACGGGUGGCAGCAGUGAGGAAUAUUGGGCAAUGCCCGCAAGGGUGACCCAGCAACGCCGCGUGGAGGAUGAAGGCCGUAAGGUUGUAAACUCCUGUUAGAGGAGAAGAAUAGUACCGAUUGGAUCGGUAUUUGACUGUACCCUCAGAGAAAGCCCCGGCUAACUACGUGCCAGCAGCCGCGGUAAUACGUAGGGGGCAAGAGUUGUCCGGAUUUACGGGCGCGCAAGGGCGCGCACACGUCAGAGCUGAAAUCCUACAGCUUAACUGUAGAACUGCCUUUGAUACUGUUAUUCUUGAGUUCGGGAGAGAGAGACGGAAUUCCAGGUGUAGUGGUGAAAUACGUAGAUAUCUGGAAGAACACCAGUUGCGAAGGCGGUCUCUUGGUCCGAUACUGACGCUGAGGCGCGAAAGCGUGGGGAGCAAACAGGAUUAGAUACCCUAGUAGUC